rnacentral:rRNA from 1 species
CCUACGGGCGGCAGCAGUGGGGAAUAUUGGACAAUGGGGGCAACCCUGAUCCAGCCAUGCCGCGUGUGUGAAGAAGGCCCUCGGGUUGUAAAGCACUUUCAGUGAGGAAGAACGCCUGGUGGUUAAUACCCAUCAGGAAAGACAUCACUCACAGAAGAAGCACCGGCUAACUCCGUGCCAGCAGCCGCGGUAAUACGGAGGGUGCGAGCGUUAAUCGGAAUUACUGGGCGUAAAGCGCGCGUAGGUGGCUUGAUAAGCCGGUUGUGAAAGCCACGGGCUCAACCUGGGAACGGCAUCCGGAACUGUCAAGCUAGAGUGCAGGAGAGGAAGGUAGAAUUCCCGGUGUAGCGGUGAAAUGCGUAGAGAUCGGGAGGAAUACCAGUGGCGAAGGCGGCCUUCUGGACUGACACUGACACUGAGGUGCGAAAGCGUGGGUAGCAAACAGGAUUAGAUACCCUUGUAGUC